UCAACCAUCAAGCCUGGCUUGUCGUUGGACCCCUUUGUAGCUGAAAUAUGCAGCAGGUCCGAAAGAUAAUGACGGCGUCGUGUUUGACCCUAGAUGCAACGAGCUUUUUUAUAGCACGCAUUGAAGUGGCUGACCGACCCGGUCUUUAACCAUCAUUUUCUAA
rnacentral:misc_RNA from 1 species